AUGAUGGUUGUCUGCUAUUUCUGCUUCACUCACAGUCAUUUUUCUUUUUUCUUUCUGCAUGAUUUAAAUGGAAAAGUCUUUGUAGUCCAAUUGUAUCAGAGCAGAAAACAGAAAACCAGAAAUGUGCGAUGUUUAUCUAAGGCCACAAAGCCAGAUAGCGGCAGAGACACUGGGGCUCUGUGCCUGCUGCCUUCUACUCUGCCAAACCACCAAGAAGCAUUCCUGGCGGAUAAAUUCACUCCUCAGAGCUCUCCCCAUUUGCUUGUACAUCGAACAGGGCCAUUGCUUCUCCCAAAGAGCUGGAAGCCUACUGCUCCACUGCUGCCCUACAGAUCAGGCUGUGCCAGAGAUUCCCAGCCCCUGACCAUUGCCUCUGGCUCUCUUUGGGACACUGGAGACAGAGGGAUGACAGGGCAGAGCCUGUGGCAUCCCUGCUGAUGAGGAAAUCUCCCGGAUUGCAAAGCCAGCUGUUAACACCAAGGACAGUCAACAGGAGGAACUACAGAGACAGAUGCCUCCAGGCCUCAGUUACGUUGAUUUUGAAAGGGUGUUGAGUGCCAGGGUCCACAACUCACCCUUUGCUUCACUGAGUAAGCCCUACAGCCUGAGGAUUUAAUGGAGACUGACAAGAGUGGGGAUCUUCACAUCAGGAAAAUGUCAGAGACUCAAAAGGCCCCUACAGAAGAAAUGACGCUCAACUGAGAGGAGGAGGGAAGACACAGAGGGAGGAGGGUUGCUGGGUCCUUACCAGGCAAGCUGGUUCCUAUUUAAAGCAUAAAAGAUGAGAAACAUGGGCAUGACAACAAUGACUGUCGUGACUGUUUUAAUUAGAGAAAAAUCAAUAAUACGUGUUAUGGAUGAAAGCGGGUUCGGCUUUGCUUGCUUCCACCGUCUGUUGUUCAUGAACACGCAGGCACAGUGCUGUCAGUUUAUGGUGUGCUGCCUACAUGUCCUUUAUCAAUAGGCCAACCACGGAGGGGAGCCUGGGGACCCACUGUGGCAAGGGUGGGAGGGAGUGGCUGCAGUACAGUUAGGGGAAGAAGCCAAAUGCCUUUCCUACCACCCACUGGGAGCCCUCCUUUCAUUUCCCUCAGCUCCCUCUUUAAAGAGGUAACAUAAAGAGAACAACUGGGGAUGAGGGAGGAGGACAUGCAGAAGGGAAAAAGAAAACUUGGGAACCGGGAAGUAACAAAAAAGAAGCAAAAAAAAGGCAAACCCACAAGCAGUUCAAGACUCCCACAUGUAACUUUGCUCCUGCUUAGACAUUUUGUAGCUCAAAGCAAGUGUAUCUUGAUCAAGAGAUCAUUGGGGCUAUUUAUUUUGGAAUGACAGUUAACAUAUUCUUUUUUCUUCAUUUUCCAAUUUUUCUACAAUAAGAAUGGAUUAACUAAAUAAAUAAGUGGCUCUGUCACUUAUUAGCUGUGCU
rnacentral:lncRNA from 1 species